CCAUUGUAAGGAGAGUGCCUGGUUCCCACAGAAAUUCAAGGCUGACUCUCCUUGCUCCUUCUUGGGACACAUGUCCACCCUUGGGCUGAUGAGCAUGACUCUGAUUGGCCAGGCCUAGGUUACAUGACCAACCCUGGAGUCCAUCAUACCCACACUCACUGAGAAGGGGAGCAAAAUUCCCUAGAAGAAAAUAGGACUACUGUUACCAAAAGAAGGGUGGGUUGACGGUGGUCAGGUGAAAACAACAGAUGUUUACAAGAGGGCUUAAUAUGCUGCCCCUGGGAAGACUAGGAUUAUGUUAGCCACAAACUCCUGCCAAGGUUUCCAUUUCACCAUAUCCUGCAGAAUUAUCUGUGACAACAGUGACUGAUCUCAAAAACUGUGCCACACGGCAUGUAGAAUUCCAAGUCCCCAUGGAGUCCCAGCCUCUGAACCACCAGGAAGUCUCCAGCAGAGAAUCUUUAAGCCUCAUCCCCCAACAAGUUCCAUCUCCUUUUACAAUGCUCUCCAUUAAAUAAAACUCCAGUGGCUUCAAGUGUUUUACAUUUGGAUCCACAGUCUGUAGACCAGUGCUCUGCAAUAGGACUUUCUGCUGUGAUACUGGAAGGCAGAUGUGGAAUUGAACCAGCCUCAGUCCUCCUAAGACUAUGCCCAGGAGAUGGUGGACCAAAAAGAUGGAAAGAUUCUGGGUCCCUGAAUUAUCUGAUGGAGCAGAGAUACCCCAUCAGUCUUGAAUGACUCAUCUUCGGGCCAUGUGUUAAGAUUGCAGGAGGCUGCCUGGAGUGCUGUGUUGACAAGGAUGUGAGACCACAUCAGUGCUCACUGGAAAUGAAGGCCAUAAUCAUCUACGUCUUCCACAGGCACAGGAGGGGGAGUUCCCUGUAAUGGCGGGGAUUGCUGGAUUCCUAAGUCCUCUUCCCUUCUAACUUUACAGAAUUUUGCCUACCUAUCCUAAGUUAGCAUAUAAGAGUCUUUCCCCCUGUCUGUUCUAUACCACACACACCUCUUGACAUAUCGAGUGUUUUAUCAAGUAGAACACAGGGUCCUCGCCUGAUAUCUCUCUCUGACUGGUCUUCUCCUCACCCACUUUCUCAUCUUCUUCUGAGCCUCACCCUCAAGUCCGGAAUCUCUUGACUUAUGAGAGACACCUAGGCUUCUCAGGCUUCUGAGUCAUUGUUCAACUUCCCUCUCACCUGACUCAGUGCUUAGGAAUUGCCAUGUUAAGAUGACAUGGUUCAGCCAGGUCCUUGCUGGAAGCAUUUGAAGGACAUUGGUAGCUAACAGGCACAGUCCUGUGAGGGUGAUUCUGCCUCAUCUGGCUCAAUCAGUCUAAUAACUUGUGUAGCCCCCAGGAGGAUUCUGAUCUUCUGGGAAUCCAAUCACUAACACAGCUUAGAAAAUAACUCAGGUAUAGAGAAUCCAUAUCUGCUUUCCCAUCCCCAAUCCCAAAUCGUUUCCAGGGAGUCGUGUUAUUUUGACCGUUUUCAAAAGUCACUGAAAAAUAGAGAAACGAUGUACGGGCGAAGGUUCAGUUGAAGAAAAUUGAAUCUACCCUGGGAAAUAGAAUCCACCUAGUUUAACUAGAGCAUGGCUUUCACAGGAUAAACCCCUUCCGACACUCCUGUUCCUAGGUCUAUAUAUCCCUUCUUCUUUAUUGGGCACAGCAAACUAUGGUCUGCUUUUGUAAAGAAAGCCACCAUUUGUUUUUGUAAAUAAAGUUUUAUUGGAACACA